rnacentral:rRNA from 1 species
UACAGAGGUCCCAAGCGUUGUUCGGAUUCACUGGGCGUAAAGGGUGCGUAGGCGGUCGGGUAAGUCUGACGUGAAAUCUUCAAGCUCAACUUGGAAACUGCGUCCGAUACUAUUCGGCUAGAGGAAUGGAGGGGAGACUGAAAUACUUGGUGUAGCAGUGAAAUGCGUAGAUAUCAAGUGGAACACCAGUGGCGAAGGCGAGUCUCUGGACAUUUCCUGACGCUGAGGCACGAAAGCCAGGGGAGCAAACGGG